GGGAGUCCAUUCUCCCCCUUAAAAGCUAUGUAGUCAAGAAGGUCAAUGCCGACACGAUCAACAAAUUAUCAGGAAAGAACCUGGAAUUAGACCUUCAGGAAACCCAUAUUCAUGUGUGAAAUGGAAAAAUAUUCUCGCCUAGAGCUCAGGGGUGUCUUGAGAAGUUUCUGCCCUGUCCCUGUGGAAUAUACAAGACACAAAGAAGCCUACUACCCUGUCAAGAAGGCAGCUAAGGAUCUCCUAUGGCAAUACUCUGAGUUGUAACUCAAUGUAUAGCAAGACCGUGAAGCACUCUUUCAUCAAUCAAACUUGCUUUGAGUCCAGGACCAGGAGAACAUGUGACCAGCCUGUGACAGUUGCUGAGGCAGAGACUAGAGGUCUAUAGGAGAUAAUGUAUGCUUAUUACCAUUUAAGGUUCUCUAAUGGUGCCUUCAGCCAAGAAUGUACUGAGCUUUAUCCCAAACAUGGAACCUCACAUAGCAUCACAUUGAACCAAUGGACUCUGUGCAGUAAAAGAAAGAUGCUGUGGAUUAUAGAAAGAGUCAGAUAUGCAGCUUUACGAUCCACUGGUCACCAUCAUAAGCCACCACACUCAGUGGUCCUGGAAAGAUGAUGGAAGGGUUCCACUAAAAAAACAUCCAGGAGAUGCAGCUUAAGGAAUAUGGCUCUUAUGUUUCAUAGUACAAUGUAUCACCUAUAUUUACCUCAUGGUAUAGUUGUCUCUUCUGAAUACACAGUCCAAUAUGUAAUUAGUAGAAGUAAAGGUGGUCUUAUAUCUGUCACUCCCACUGACCUUUGGAACAUGUGCUGGAGAUGCUUGCAGGUUUAGAAGCUUUGAGACUUAUACUGGUAUGCUAGCACAUGCAUUUUGGUAAAUAUCAAACUGUAGCCACUGCCUGAUCACAUUGGAUUUUGCAUAUCAAGACCAACUGCUUCAACAAAAUAAUUAACCUUGAUCCCAGAAAUCAGAAGAGGUAUUACCAUAUAUGAGGUCAAGGUUUUAUUUUUUGAUACUCCCUUGCCAGGUUGUAUGGCGGAGGAACAAAUGACCCAAGCAUGAAUGGAAAAGGCAUGAAGACUCUGAGAACAGGUGUCUCAGAGAGAAGAAUCUGAGCCAUCAUUACUGGAUAAGUCACUUAGCUAUCACAUAUCCCAACCAAGGGGUUUAAGAAUGGAUGAUACCAGUGAGACCUGAAAGGUUUCUGCUAUAGUCUGAGGAAUAGCUGCAAUCGUAGUGGCCGCAGCUCACUCCACUAAUACUCUUUUGAGUUUCCCUAGCAAAAGAUGACCACCAGAGUCCUGAAGACUAAGGGUGUUAAAAAGGGAAGCCAAGCAAGGCCAACAGAAAUAUCUGCAGAAUUCUAACCACUGUGUCCUUUGGUUGCUGAUUAUUAUUGUCAGGUGAACAUGGUCUCUGUACCCAAGAGAAUGUCUCCUGCCCAAGACCAGCCUUCAUUGAGUGACUGGAAGAUACUGAGAUAUGAUGGACUUCCCUCAACAUUCUAUGGAAUUACUUUAAAGGCCUCACAGGAUGUGCUGGGAUAUUCUUUGUGAUUGUAUAUUUCUUUCACCCUCGGGUGUUGAUUUCCAGGGUAUUUCCAAUAAACUUUGUGUGCACAAGUCA
rnacentral:lncRNA from 1 species